rnacentral:rRNA from 1 species
UACGUAGGGUGCAAGCGUUGUCCGGAAUUAUUGGGCGUAAAGAGCUCGUAGGCGGUUUGUUGCGUCGGCUGUGAAAUCCCGAGGCUCAACCUCGGGUCUGCAGUCGAUACGAGCAAACUAGAGUGUUGCAGGGGAGACUGGAAUUCCUGGUGUAGCGGUGAAAUGCGCAGAUAUCAGGAGGAACACCGAUGGCGAAGGCAGCCCCCCUGGGCUAACACUGACGCUCAGGCACGAAAGCGUGGGGAGCAAACAGG